rnacentral:lncRNA from 1 species
UUGCACAUGCCAGGUGCAAAGAAUCAAAGAACACACUUUAUAUACGGAUAAAGACAUCCUUUUGCCCAAAAUUUUCCCCUGCACAACUGUGCAUCAUCUUGAAAAUGGGGGCCUCUGAUUCUCUCAACUUUCACUUUCACUUUCACUAGCACUUCCCCACUUUUCUUUCUUCCUGUCCUUAACCUUUGCAUAUUCCACUACCAAUAUUAUUGAUACUGCCAGUUACAGUUUUCGGUUUUCCCGUAGUUCCACUGCCUACUUUACCUGUGAAAAACAGGGUUUUUUGGGGCUUUUGUUCGUGUGCAAUUAGUGUUAAGUAUAUUAGAGCGUGUAUACAUAUUAUAGGAAGUUGAUAUCUACUGCAAAGAUGGAGGCUAUAAAGAAGCAAGCGAGUAAAUUGCGAGAACAAGUGGCCAAACAGCAGCAGGUAGAUUUUAAUCUAUGUUCUAUUCAAAUAGUCUGUUUUAGUUUGUUUAAAAGUUUUGGUUUUACUACAAAUUUCUGGGUUUGAUUGUGUAUAUAAUUGAUUCUGGUUUCAAGGUUGGGGGUUUAUGCGAAAGAUUUCUACGAAGGGGAGAUGGGCUUUAUUUAAUUAUUUUGGGAAUUUAAGUAUUGUUGAAAUUCCGCAGUUCACUGGAUUUUCGAAAGGGCUUUCUGGGUCUACACUGGAGGAUUUUUAGCCCUUUUCGGUAAUAGACGCUUCCAGAGUCGUGGAAUAAAAUAAUUUCGAUAAAAUGCAAACUUUCAUAAAAUGCCAACAAUAAGAGUGUAUCUGAACUUGAAAUUUAUACUGAAGUAAAGAAUGUAUUUGGACUAAAGAUGGAGGGGCAUUUAAAAAUAGAAAGAAUGAAGUAGGUGGUGAUGAGAUUACAGGAUUUCAGGAAUGAGGAAAGUGAUCCAUUCUUGGACUUUGAAGUUGGAAUAGCAUCAUUAGAAGUAUACAAUUGUUUGGUCUAAAUUGUGAUAGAUAGAGAUAAUUAUCUUAUUUAGUGCCCUGGAUCAUCUGAUUCUCGGUCGAUACUGUUGUGAUCUUUAGAGGUAUCGCAUGUCAUAGCAGCAGAAAGCAAACACUAUACCAGUCACCUAUUGAAUCAAAGUCAUCUCAAACUUUUGGCUGAUACUUCAACUCCAAAAAGACAUGGGAUCUCCAGAAUUAUGUUUCUUCGUAUACUGCUUGAGUGCAUUUACCCUCUUGGUUACCCUUUUCCUCUGCAUCCUUUUUUCAAAUGUUGUUCUCCUCUACGUGAAAAAAUAAGUGACCUGCCUCAGUGUAACUUUUAUUCUUGUGGUUUCUUUCUUUCAUGAACCUAAACAGCAGAGGCUUCUAUGCUUUCAUAGGUGGGUGUUCGUUCUCCCUUCCAUUUUUCUCUGGAAGUUGUACAUUACUAUUUAUCAAGGUAGAAUUUGCCUCCAGAUGGUUCAUCCUUGAUCAGGACAGUAGAUUGUCCACCUCUCAUAUAUUCUCCCCUGUUCUAAAUUGUUUCUGCUCAUCUGAACCAAGAAGUAAAUCUUACAGUUUUUUGCAACUGGAAUUGGUAAGUGUAGCGUGCCAUCACUUGCAGGUCAGGGAUGGAUGAAGUGAUGCCCACAACCUCCUGCAAAUGGUACUGAGAAGCCAUCGAUAUGAGAAGCUUCGUCUUUUUGAAAUGUUAUGUGAACUGUAGAUUGGCCUUAAGAAUCCACAUUUCUAGUUUAUCUGCAUCAAGUAUUAAACCUCAUGUUUUCAAGAUGUAAUUGUCGCUGGAAGAUGCUACUUUUUUUGUUUUCUUUUUCACACCUUCUCCUCCCCCACCANNN